GGGGGAGAUUACUGUCACAUUGGAGGAAGAGGAGGAGGUUGGGGAUCUGUUUAACACCAGAGAGAGACGUGACUGUUGUGGAUUCUCUGUAGAGCCUCAACAACAUCAUGAUGCGGCACAGAAGAGUCUCUCCAGAUCAGAACACCUCAAGAAACACCAGCGGACACCCACAGGGAAGAAAUCUCACCGCUGCUCUGACUGUGGGAAAGGUUGCAAAUCUUCAUCAGAACUUAAAAUACACCAGCUAGUGCACACACGAGAGAAAUCUCACCACUGUUUUGAUUGUGGGAAGAGUUAUUUAAGAGUAAAAUCACUAAAAGCACACAUGAGAAUUCACACAGGAGAGAAAUAUUUUAGCUGUGAUCAAUGUGGGAAGAGUUUUACUGCAUCAAGCCAUCAGAUUGUACACCAGAGAACACACACAGGAGAGAAACCAUAUAGCUGUAAUCAAUGUGGGAAGAGUUUUAAAAGAUCUAACCAUCUUAUUUUACACCAAAGAACACACACAGGAGAGAAACCUUAUAGCUGUGAUCAAUGUGGGAAGAGUUUUACUCAGCUAAGCAACCUGAUAUCACACAGGAGAACACACACAGGAGAGAAACCUUAUAGCUGUGAUCAAUGUGGGAAGAGCUUUACUCAGCCAAGCAACCUGACACGACACAUGAGAACACACACGGGAGAGAAACGUUAUAGCUGUGACCAGAGAUAAUCUGAUUAAAGAUCUCUGAUCAAAUAUUAUAAUAUACAUACAUGAAGGAGUUGUUUCAUGAUUUCAAUGAAUUAAUGUCACAAUGUAGAAUGUUUAACAUUGUAGUAGGAAUAUUUUCAUGAUGUCAGAAUGUAGAAGCCUAAACGUUUGCCUCUUAUCAAUUGAUUUCAGCAUGAUAUGGAUAUUAACCUCAGGGGAAAAAUCCAGGCUCUGAAUUGAUUUAUGUAAUUUAACAAAAAUUGACUAACAAAAAAAAGUUGUUAAACUUACCCACUUGAAUCAAAAUGCAACACUUCAAAAUGUAGCUAGCUGUUUUCUACAAAUUGUCCCCUAACCAGGGAUGUACACAUUACUCCCAUAUUCCGUGUGGUUUUUGAGCUGUUAGUUUUAACAGGACGUGCAACCUCAUCUCCCUCCUCUCGCACAAUUGAUUUCAACAUGAUAUCGAUGAGUGAUGACAAAUAAGUGUUGCGUUCCUUUGUUUAGCGACCCCUACAUUUAAAUGCAUCUCUCCAAAAUGUAGCUGACUGUCUUCUGCAGGUUGUCCUCUAACCAGUGAGGUAAAAGAUAUCUCCAAUUUCCAUGUGUUUUUUGUUGUUGUUAGUUUCAACAGCAAGUACAACCUGAUUUCCCCCUUAAUCGAUAUCAGUGAUUUAUUGCUGCUUGUGCAGUUUAUAAGGUGCUUGUUUAAAAAAAUACAAGUAAUAUGAUUAUUGUGGCAGAUGUUUGUUUACAUAGCACAUUUUUUGUUUAGAUUUUCAAUAUAUCACUAACGUUCUGCAUAUUGGUUAUUGAUUUAGACACGUUAAAACUGUGUUUUGACAUUGUCGUUGAAAAUCUGUUGAAAGUAGACUAUGCAACCAAAUAUUUAAUAUUUACAUUUCAUGUAACAUUUAGUAAUGAUAAUUAUUCAUGCAACUAACUGACCAUUUUUUUUGUACAAUUAUAAUGACAUUGUUGCCCUGCUUUUAUAAUAUCAGGGUUCAUUCUCAGAUGUGCCAAACCAAAUGUACUCGAGCAUGACAUUGGGGACUGGGCCCAGAUCCAACAACAUGCCUAUCUAGUGAACCCUGGAAAGAGAGAGAAGGUCCGCAGUGAGGUGGAAAAUUACUACGGAUAUUGCAGGAGUUUCCUCUUGAAA